rnacentral:lncRNA from 1 species
GUUAUAUUAAAAAAAUCUUUUAUGCAAGACAAACUUGAGACAAAGUUUUGUGUGGAUUACCUCGAGAGGUCAAUAGAAUUAUGUUAAACAAAUUUAACUCCAAGUCAUAUGAAGGAAAGUAAAUGUCCACAUAGAAAGCCAACCACUGUGUCUCUUAUUUGAUAGGCUAAGACCCUGAUGGAGUACAUAAUAGGGCAGCAGCAUUCUUGGAGCAGUGGGAGAGGAAGGAGCAUAAACGAGCAAUGGGGUGACAGAGCUUCGGCCAGAGCCUCACUAGGGUGUGGUUCAGUGGUUGGAGUACACGAGUUUUACUUUUUAUUGCUAUCCUUUAGUUUCCCUUUGUUAUCAAGUAGUAGUAGGGUGUUUUUGUUAAUUAUUGAUGUAGGGUUAUAUUUUGAUACACCAAUUUAAAUUUCGUUUCUUGAAAAGUCCAGUUUUUG